rnacentral:rRNA from 1 species
GACAGAGGCCUCGAGCGUUAGGCGGAAUCACUGGGCUUAAAGCGUGUGCAGGCGGAUCGUUAAGUGCCUUGUGAAAUCCCACGGCUUAACCGUGGAACUGCUGGGUAUACUGGCGAUCUUGAGGUGCUCAGGGGCGAGCGGAACAGAUGGUGGAGCGGUGAAAUGCGUAGAUAUCAUCUGGAACGCCUGCGGUGAAAACGGCUCGCUGGGAGCAAUCUGACGCUGAGACACGAAAGCCAGGGGAGCGAACGGG